GAUGAAGAACGUAGCGAAAUGCGAUACGUAAUGUGAAUUGCAAAUUCAGUGAAUCAUCGAGUCUUUGAACGCACAUUGUGCCCCCUGGUAUUCCGGGGGGCAUGCCUGUCCGAGCGUCAUUACUGCCCUCAAGCCCGGCUUGUGUGUUGGGCCCCGUCCUCCGAUCCCGGGGGACGGGCCCGAAAGGCAGCGGCGGCACCGCGUCCGGUCCUCGAGCGUAUGGGGCUUUGUCACCCGCUCUGUAGGCCCGGCCGGCGCUUGCCGAUCAACCCCAAUUUUUUAUAGGUUGACCUCGGAUCAGGUAGGGAUACCCGCUGAACUUAAGCAUAUCAAUAAGCGGAGGA
rnacentral:misc_RNA from 1 species